UUUGGCUCUCUCUCACUCACUCAUACAAAGCAGAGGAGGGAAGGACAGACUGCCUAGGAGAUUAGGGAAGACUUAAAAGGAGAAGUAACAUUUGAGCUGCCUGAACCCACGCUUUCUCGCUCUCGCUGCAUAAAGCUGCCCCGAGCCACUUUCCACUCCUUGUCAGUCACUUCUAGAACCUUCCGCAAUCACCAAGUUCCUGGUCCCCCAGAAGUGAACAUCUGUUGAGCACCUACCACGUGCAGGGUGCUCUUGCUGAGUACUGGGAACAGACGAGGCAAGCCUCUGGAGACAGUGCGGGUCUGGUUCCAGACCACCACAAUGAAACAAAUACCACAAUGAAGGGAGGCGGAUGACUUUUUGGUUUCCCAGUGCACAUCAAAGUUACGUGUACCCUACACUGGAGUCUCUUAAGUAUGCAACAGCAGGAUGUCUAAAAACCGUGCGAUGCUGUUUGAUAGCACUUUACCCACCGAAGAACUUCUUUCAGAACUGGAGGCAAUCCUCUCAAACCCUGCUGCCGCUUUAUCAACUCAGUGGACGUCAUACCCUCAAUCCUUGUUGUCAUUUCAACCAUCUCCAUAGCAUCGUCACCUGGCGUAGAUUCCAUUUCAAGAAACCACUUUCUUUGCUCAUCCACAAGAAGCAAUUCUUCACCUGUUCACGUUUUAUCACGAGAUUGCAGCCGUUCAAAUAUAGUAAUGAAAAAGUCUGAAAUCUUGCAAGAAUUACCAAAAUGUGACACAGAGACACAAAGUGAGCAAAUGCUAUUGGAAAAAUGGCACCAAUAGACCUGCUUGACACAGGGUUGCCACAACCUUGGAUUUGUAAAAACCACCGUAUCUGUGAAGCAUAACAAAAGAGCUAUUGUGAAUAAUGCUGCUAUGAACACUGGUGUACAAAUAUCUGCUUGAGUCCCUGCUUUCAAUUCUUUUGGACAUUACCAAGGAGUGGAAUUGCUGGAUCAUAUGGUAAUUCUAUGUUUAGCUUGCUGAGGAACCAUCAAACUGUUUUCCCCAACUUCAACCUUUUGCACAUGGGUGUUCCUGUUGUCCCUGAACCAUUUGUUGAGUUACUUCUGUUCUUGGGCUGACAUAAUUCGCCACCAAGCUUCUCAGUAUGGCAUAUCAACCCUCCAUGACUGAAUGUCUCACCUGAAGCCAUUAUUCAGUGACAUUGGGCAAAGCCCAUGUCAGACCAUAUUGGAUUUUCAGAAGUGGAAAGG